rnacentral:rRNA from 1 species
AUCCUUGUUGUAGAAAGUCAUAUGAUUGUUUUAUAAAUGUAUAUGAACUUAACUAAAUAAAUUCAAAGAUCAACAAGAUGCAAUCAUCUCAUCAAGAACCUAGGAGGCAAAAGGUGAUAGUACGUAUCUACUGAUUGAAAAUAAAGUGACCUUUGUUUUUAUGCAAGAAAAUAAUUACGCCAACAAAAAAAAUUACAUAAAGAAUUUUGAUUUUGUAGAAAAAUAUUACGUCAAUGUUUUGGAAUGAAAUACAUGGCUAUAUGGGCAGUUCUUUAUUCUAGCCCAAAUUGAUAGUAGUAAACUUGCGUGUUCGGCAAGCAGCACGCGGCUUUUUAAGUCCGCCGUCAAAUCCCAGGGCUCGAACUCUAGAAAGGUGAUGGAAACUACUAAGCUGGAGUAUGGUAGGGGCUAAGGGAAUUUCCAGUGGAGUGGUGAAAUGCGUAGAGAUCGGAAAGAACACCAACGGCGAAAGCACUUUGCUGGGCCGACACUGACACUGAGAGACGAAAGCUAGGGGAGUGAAUGAGAUUAGAUACCCCAAUAGUCCUAGCCGUAAACGAUGGAUACUAGGCGUUGUGUGUAUCGACCCGUGUAGUGUUGUAGCUAACACGUUAAGUAUCCCGCCUGGGGAGUACGUUCGCAAGAAUGAAACUCAAAGGAAUUGAAGGGGGCCUGCACAAGCGGUGGAGCAUGUGGUUUAAUUCGAUGCAAUGCGAAGAACCUUACUAGGGCUUGACAUGCCGGGAAUCCUCUUGAAAGAGAGGGGUGCCUUCGGGAACGUAGACACAAGUGGUGCAUGGUUGUCGUCAGCUCGUGCCGUAAGGUGUUGGGUUAUGUCCCACAACGAGUGCAACCCUUGUGUUUAGUUGCCAUCAUUGAGUUUGGAACCCUAGAUAGACUGCUUAUGAUAAGUCGCAGGAAGGCGAGGAGGACGUCUAGUCAUCAUGCCCCAUAUGUCUUGUAUGGUUUCAAAGCACUCCAUUGAUGAUGACAAUGAGCCCCUUUGAUGUAGUGUAAGUUAAAAGCCCAAGACUUGUCUUUUAGCAAGUGACAGUUUCGGUCCAUUAUUUAGAAAAGUUUUCAACUUUGGGGGCCGGUGAACAGUUGUGGAUUUUUUUAACACGCAUAUUUUUUCGUGAACAGAAAAAUAAAGAUUCCAUCAAGUCUUGGCAGUUCGGAAAGUCGUUUUUCGUGAU